UGCAGUCGAACGAUGAACCACUUCGGUGGGGAUUAGUGGCGAACGGGUGAGUAACACGUGGGCAAUCUGCCCUUCACUCUGGGACAAGCCCUGGAAACGGGGUCUAAUACCGGAUAACACUUCCACUCUCCUGAGUGGAGGUUAAAAGCUCCGGCGGUGAAGGAUGAGCCCGCGGCCUAUCAGCUUGUUGGUGAGGUAAUGGCUCACCAAGGCGACGACGGGUAGCCGGCCUGAGAGGGCGACCGGCCACACUGGGACUGAGACACGGCCCAGACUCCUACGGGAGGCAGCAGUGGGGAAUAUUGCACAAUGGGCGCAAGCCUGAUGCAGCGACGCCGCGUGGGGGAUGACGGCCUUCGGGUUGUAAACCCCUUUCAGCAGGGAAGAAGCGCAAGUGACGGUACCUGCAGAAGAAGCGCCGGCUAACUACGUGCCAGCAGCCGCGGUAAUACGUAGGGCGCAAGCGUUGUCCGGAAUUAUUGGGCGUAAAGAGCUCGUAGGCGGCUUGUCACGUCGGGUGUGAAAGCCCGGGGCUUAACCCCGGGUCUGCAUUCGAUACGGGCUAGCUAGAGUGUGGUAGGGGAGAUCGGAAUUCCUGGUGUAGCGGUGAAAUGCGCAGAUAUCAGGAGG
rnacentral:rRNA from 1 species